GUUUAGUCUGUCUCUAUCUGGCUCUACAUGUUCAAUGUAGAGCGAGAGAUGUGUUCAUCUACAAUUCUUCAAUUCAAUUUGUGAUUGGAUGUACAGAGAUGGUAUUUAAAGCGGUCCGUCUGUCUGGAUGUACAGCGUGUGUACAGACACCAGCAGGUACCUGAAGGUGUGCGGUCGCUAUCGACAGAACGUGAAGGUACAGAAAUACACAGACGUCUUCACAGUGGUCGUCCUGAGAGGUUUGGGAUCAGUCAGUGAAGUGGAGCUGGCAGGUCUGUCUCUCAGAAGGAGGUCUGUCUCUCUGAGGAUCAGGUCUGUCUCAGGAGCAGGUCUGUCUCUCAGGAGCAGGUCUGUCUGUCUCUCUGAGGAGCAGGUCUGUCUCUCAGGAGCAGGUCUGUCUCUCUGAGGAGCAGGUCUGUCUCUCUGAGGAGCAGGUCUGUCUCUGAGGAGCAGGUCUGUCUGUCUCUCUGAGGAGCAGGUCUGUCUCUCAGGAGCAGGUCUGUCUCUCAGGAGCAGGUCUGUGGAGGUGUAUAGAGCCCUGGUAGCUAGUGCUAACCCUGUUAGGAGCAGACAGACAGCCAGCAGCUCUGCCUCCGAGGGCCGGCGGAGGCAGCGUGUCGAGGGCGCCGGGUCGGGGGCCAGUCCCAGGUGGUUCCUGGGACUCCUGGGGAGGUUUCGCUUAUGAAUUCUUUAUUUUAGCCUGAAAUCCCCUGCAAAAAUCCAGCUCCUCCAAACAAUAAUGAAAC
ensembl:lncRNA